ensembl:lncRNA
GGGCAGUGCCGUAGCUCCGCAAACGCACAUAACGCACACUGCGUAGGGCACCAAAUGGCCGGUAGGGCACCAAAAAAAUCAGGGUCGUAAAAAAAAAAAAAAGUAAACCAUAUUAAUACUAUAAAUAUCAUAUGCAUUAAUAUGGUUAAACAAUACAAAAGCAACAUAAAACAAUUUUCCCGAGAAAAGGGGUGAAUCUGCUUUGUGCCCUGUCUCCAGUCUCCUCCUGGUGCCCCCCCCCCCACUCCCAGUGGUCUGUUCUAUAAUUGGUAAACACCUGUUUGAACAUGGCCUCGAAACGGCAACAGGAGUCGGGAGCGGAGAAAAGAAAGAAGAAGAGGAAGCGUGAUGAAACUCAGGCGUCGCUUGCCGGGUCAAUGCUUAAAUAUGUUCAAGGAGGAUCUCAAGGACAGGAUGAACCAUCCAGUAGUAGUGCCAUCCCUGGACAUCAACCACCAGCCAUUGUAGACCCUGCAACAAUCCCUAGCCAAGAAGAACAAGAACCAUCAACCACCAGUUCAGGAGAGGUUUGAGACCAUGAAUCAAGUGAAGGAGAAAUAUGGAGUGCUGCUUGAUUUCAGCAAAGUGAAUGGGA